rnacentral:rRNA from 1 species
AUUGAACGCUGGCGGCAGGCCUAACACAUGCAAGUCGAGCGAGCGGCGGACGGGUGCGUACUGUAUGGGGACUGCCCGAUAGCGGGGGAAACCUACUGGAAACGGUAGCUACUACCGCAUCUUCUCGGAUAACCCCAAUGGGUUGAGCUAGUAGGUGGGGUAACGGAUCACCUCGGCGACGAUCCCUAGCUGGUCUGAGAGGAUGAUCAGCCACACUGGGACUGAGACACGGCCCAGACUCCUACGGAGGCAGCAGUGGGGAAGAUUGCACAAUGGGCGCAAGCCUGAUGCAGCCAGGCCGGGUGUAUGAAGAAGGCCCUAGGGUUUGAAAGUACUUUCAGUCGGGAGGCGUUACCGACAGAAGAAGCACCGGCUAACUCCGUGCCAGCAGCCGCGGUAAUAC